rnacentral:rRNA from 1 species
UACGAAGGGUGCAAGCGUUAAUCGGAAUUACUGGGCGUAAAGCGCGCGUAGGUGGUUCAGUAAGUUGGAUGUGAAAUCCCCGGGCUCAACCUGGGAAUUGCAUUUGAAACUGGGAAACUAGAGUGUGUGAGAGGGGGGUAGAAUUCCAAGUGUAGCGGUGAAAUGCGUAGAUAUAGGAAGGAACACCAGUGGCGAAGGCGACCACCUGGACUGAUACUGACACUGAGGUGCGAAAGCGUGGGGAGCAAACAGG